GACGAACGCUGGCGGCGUGCCUAAUACAUGCAAGUCGAGCGGAAUGAUGAAGAAGCUUGCUUCUUCUGAUUUUAGCGGCGGACGGGUGAGUAACACGUGGGCAACCUACCUUGUAGAUUGGGAUAACUCCGGGAAACCGGGGCUAAUACCGAAUAAUCCAUUUUGCUUCAUGGCGAGAUGUUAAAAGGCGGCUUCGGCUGUCACUACGAGAUGGGCCCGCGGCGCAUUAGCUAGUUGGUAGGGUAAUGGCCUACCAAGGCGACGAUGCGUAACCGACCUGAGAGGGUGAUCGGCCACACUGGGACUGAGACACGGCCCAGACUCCUACGGGAGGCAGCAGUAGGGAAUCUUCCACAAUGGACGAAAGUCUGAUGGAGCAACGCCGCGUGAGUGAAGAAGGUUUUCGGAUCGUAAAACUCUGUUGUAAGGGAAGAACACGUACGAGAGUAACUGCUCGUACCUUGACGGUACCUUAUUAGAAAGCCACGGCUAACUACGUG
rnacentral:rRNA from 1 species